rnacentral:lncRNA from 1 species
AGUGUCUCGGGCUCAGGCUGAAAGAGACUGGCAGCUUUCACUUCCUGUCUUUUGAAAGUCUCUUGAACUUCGGACCUGGGGGAAGCCAGCUGCCGAGUGAGAAGUCUGACUAUCCGGAGAUGGCGGUGAGUAUAGAGAAUUUCUGCUAGGUCUCCUGUGUUUCAGCCAUCCCAGCCCAGGCACCACGACACAUUAUCAAAGGACUAUCUUGGACCUUCUCAUCCCAGCAAACAUCCAAUGGAGAAGAAUGAAGACUCCAGGCAUAUGAUCCCACUCUAGCCAUCCCAGGAGCCCCCAGCUAUCCAAACAACUACAGCUGUGGCCAAAAACAUCGUGUAUCAGGGACAAACUCUCUGCUUAUGGCUGCUCUAAUCCUUGACCUACAGAAUCAUGAAAUUUGUGGAUACGGUCAUGAUCUUGAUUUUGGCGAUGGUUUCACAGGUCAGAUGUACGUGAUGGUUACCAUUAUAACUACAUACUAUGAAAGAUUAAUCAGUGGAAAAAAACAAGUUAAAGACACACAAAAAACUUCAGAGAAUCAACUUCUGGUCAAAAAAGCCCUCCUUUAGCCAACUCUAAACCUCAUUCAACCAAUAUUCUCUAUAGUCUUAGAAAGCAUUCAGAAGACAUAAUAUUUUUUAAGGACUUCAAGCAGCAAAUGGCAGAAGUGACAAGAAUUGAAAAUAGAGGAAAAUUUUGUUUUGUUUAAAGAAUUCUAAUUUUAAUAAUGGGAAGUAUGCAUCCAUAUUUAUGCCAGAUUCAUAUAUAUGAAAUAUAUAUAUAUAUAUAUAUAUAUAUAUUUCAUGUAAAUGUACUUUUGCUAAUGAAAUAGGAAUUCAGGACAAUAAGAAGGUCUAGAGGAAGCACCCUUUAUGAGUAAUUGGUUUCAAUGUUCGUAUUCUUGAUCUAAACAAUAAAAAAUCAAAACUGCAUUUUCUCAAUGAAUAUGUUUUUCUCUGUUUUAAGUCUCAAGAAGUUAUGGUAGAAAUGCUUUACAGAAAAUAUUUUUCAAGCCCGGCAUGGUGGCUCAUGCCUGUAAUCCCAGCACUUUGGGAGACUGAGGCAGGCAGAUCACUUGAGGUCAGGAGUUCAAGACCAGCCUUUCCAACAUGGUGAGAACUUGUCUCUACUAAAAAUAAAAAAAAAAAUUAGCCUGGCAUGGUGAUGCACACCUGUAAUCCCAGCUACUUGGGAGGCCGAGGCACGAGAAUCACUUGAACCCAGGAGGUGGAGGUUG